AGCGGACGCUGGCGGCAGGCCUAACACAUGCAAGUCGAACGGAUCCUUCGGGAUUAGUGGCGGACGGGUGAGUAACACGUGGGAACGUGCCCUUUGGUUCGGAACAACUCAGGGAAACUUGAGCUAAUACCGGAUGUGCCCUUCGGGGGAAAGAUUUAUCGCCAUUGGAGCGGCCCGCGUCUGAUUAGCUAGUUGGUGAGGUAACGGCCCACCAAGGCGACGAUCAGUAGCUGGUCUGAGAGGAUGAUCAGCCACACUGGGACUGAGACACGGCCCAGACUCCUACGGGAGGCAGCAGUGGGGAAUCUUGCGCAAUGGGCGAAAGCCUGACGCAGCCAUGCCGCGUGAAUGAUGAAGGUCUUAGGAUUGUAAAAUUCUUUCAGCGGGGACGAUAAUGACGGUACCCGCAGAAGAAGCUCCGGCUAACUUCGUG
rnacentral:rRNA from 1 species